rnacentral:rRNA from 1 species
AGCGAACGCUGGCGGCAGGCUUAACACAUGCAAGUCGAACGCCCCGCAAGGGGAGUGGCAGACGGGUGAGUAACACGUGGGAACGUACCCUUUGGUUCGGAAUAACUUGGGGAAACUCAAGCUAAUACCGGAUAAGCCCUUUUUGGGAAAGGUUUACUGCCGAAGGAUCGGCCCGCGUCUGAUUAGCUAGUUGGUGAGGUGACGGCUCACCAAGGCGACGAUCAGUAGCUGGUCUGAGAGGAUGAUCAGCCACACUGGGACUGAGACACGGCCCAGACUCCUACGGGAGGCAGCAGUGGGGAAUAUUGGACAAUGGGGGCAACCCUGAUCCAGCCAUGCCGCGCGAGUGAUGAAGGCCUUAGGGUUGUAAAGCUCUUUUACCCGGGACGAUAAUGACUGUACCGGGAGAAUAAGCCCCGGCUAACUUCGUGCCAGCCGCCGCCGUAA